UAGACUAGAGUCUAGAGAUUCUAGAUCUAGAUCACUACCAAAGGCAGCCACUAAUGUAGAAUAGAUCUAGAUUUCUAGAUAUACUAAAUCUAAAACAUAUAGAUCUAGUAUAGAUAUAUUCUAACACAAACUUCAUAAAUAUUUAUUAACAUGCGACGUGUUGGCGAUGGCGCCGAUGGAUGGGCUACACGACACGUGAUCAUCGUGAUGUCAGUUUUAGUUUAAGUCAAGUUUUAUGUCAGUCAGAGGCAGGUGCAAUCGGAAUCACUGCAAUGUCGCAAUGUGAAAGAGAUUAAUGAGAAUGUCAUCAUGAUUGAGACUCAUCAUCUCAUUGUAAAAAAUGUGGACAAGUCAAAUACUGAAUUAUGAAUAGAAUCGACAAACAGUCAAUCACUCAAUAGAUCAAGUCAAGUUCUAGUAGAUGCUGAGCUUGUGUGUGGAGGGAGUCAGACCCAAGGGCCGCCCAAAACUGACCUUACCUUAUAGAGAAGUCUCAGCAAGUGAAACAUGAGAGCCACAGACAUCAACGAAAGUAUGUGGGAAGAAAUAGCUAAAGACUGGAGUGCAUGGAGACAGACUGUGUGUGCUGGGAUGAUCCUCGCUGGCUGAGAGCAAAAGAAAUGAAGCGGUCUUAAUCAAGGAAAAACAUCUGCUGCCCUGUCAGCUAGACCUGAAUCAGGAUUCAGAUGCGUACACAUGCAUGAAUUGUGGUAAAGUCUGCUGCUCUAGCAUUGGCUUGAUUAGCCAUACCAGAUUCUGCCCCGUCACAAGACAAAACCAAAACCAGUGAUUCAUCUGGGCCCAUCAAUUGCCUUCUGAGACAAAAAGGAGCCAUAUAUAUAAUAAUAUAGUUCUAGUACAAAAUGUAUGGUUGUUUUGGUCCAGUUGUACUGUGUAGAGAGAAAAGUCAGUCAACCAAUAAAGGCAUGCUGCAUUAUGAUGAACCCUUUAGGCCGCUCCUCAGGUAGAUGAUACUCACCUUGGAAUGCAGAUGUUCAUGUACUAUGAGCCUGCUCGUAUUGGACAAUUGUGAAAAAGUUGGACUAUUACAAAGAGAAGAACAUUCACACAGACCUCUAUGAUAUGAAUAAAACAGUGGAGUACACAUAUUUGCUCAAUUCAGAGGUUAGUGGAAUCUUAAGUAUCAAAGUAUAAUUUAGUUUGUUCACGAUCUUAGUAAAUGUUCUACUAUUAUGUAACGAUCAAAGGGAGAGAAGGGGUUAUAAAAAUUUGUUACAAUCAGGAGGGGGGUCUGAAGAUUUAUGAAACAAAACAAAAAAUAUUGAAAUUACAGGUCUAGUGUUCCCUUGACUUUCGCUGGUGUAACGUUUGCAGAAGGGCUAUACCUUAGGUUUUCAAAUAUUAUUGUUGGGAAAAAAAAAACUUCACGUUUUUUUCUUUUUGAACAUCAUGGGUUUUCUGGUGGCCUCCUAAUGUAUAUUUACAGUAUUGGAAAAAUAAUGAAUACAUCAUAACUCUGAAAGAAGUCAAUACUUUCUCCAUCAUUUUUAUAGAUACUAUGAUGAAAAAUGUAAUGUAAUUUGUGACAAUAUGAAAUAAGUCAAUCAAUUUUAAAAUUAGAAUUUCGGGGGGGGGGGGGGGAGGGGGGGAGUUAAGUUUUCUUAAGAUUUGUUGCCACAGAGGCUGCUGGUUAAAAAAAGGUGCUUAUUGCCUUACUUAAUAUCUGAACGAGCCCUUAUUCUAGUGCUGGGAAAUUAAAAAAAAAAUGAUAGUGAAUAGCAAUACUCAGUGCUGUGUUGAGGUCUCAGAUCAGAGAACACAUUGUCUUUGACAUCCUUUUUUAUUUCAACUUAACUGAAACCCUUUUCAUGACAAGUAUUGUGCUGAGACCAUUCCCUUAGAUAUAUGAAAUAAAUCAGGCAGUGUGUUUUAAGGUCUCUUUGUCCCAUAACGAAGAAUAACCUUUAGCUAAAUAAAAGACAUUUCUUCCUCUCUCAACUCCUUGUCCUGUAUUUUGCAAUGGUUGCAUUGUGUGUUGUUCUCUUUGAAUUAACCCUAAGUACAUGUUGAUGGAGCAUUGACCUAAACUGGCUAGGACCACAUGUUCUUCUCACUUUAAUUUCCACCAAGCAUCUUUGCAGCUUGGUUUCUUCAUCUGCCUCCCUAAUUCUCUGCCCUUUUCUGACUUAUGCCAGGUAUCUAACCAAAGAGUCUGUUCCCUUUCAUAGAAGAGUGGUGCAGCAGACAUGCCUACAGUCCCGCAUUAUGCGGAACCGUCCCGCAAAAGCAUCAAAAAAGCUCACAUGUUCCGCCGUUCCGCAUUUACGUUUUUUUGUUCCGCCAAGUCUGAAUUCCGACACAAAAAAAAAAAAAAUCGCCGAUUUUUCAUUAUUUAUUAAUAGUGCGAAAUGAAAAUACUGAAUGAAAAUAAAAUAUAUAUAGGUCUGUGUUUAUUGUUUACAUUUCAUCUUCCCCCAGGACCCGGUGUGUCCUAAAUUUACGAAGAUAUGGUUGAGUGAGCUAGAUUGCUGCUAGAUCUAGACAUAGAUCUAGAUCUAGUACUCUAGGUCUAGAUACUAGAUCUAUUCUUAGAAUCUAGUAAGUGCUAAUAAGCCAAAUGUUCUAUUCAAAUCCCUUUCUUUUCCCGACAAUGGCUCUACUCUAUUAG